rnacentral:lncRNA from 1 species
CCCACAUGGUGGCUCAUAAACAUCUGUAACUCCAGUUCCCACGUUCUGACACCCCCUUCUAACUUGUGUGUACAGGCAUGAACAUGGUGCAUGUAUAUACAUGUGAGCAAAGCAUUCAAACACACGAAAAUGAGGUAAGUCUAAAACAACAUGGAAACAACCCGAGGUAGAACUUAGCCAGGCGUCUCCAGGGUUGGUGCAGAGCCUCUAACCUGUGGGACUGUGGUCUCCAGGUUGUAGUGCUUAUUCAGGAACUUGAGCAGCUUCGGCGAUGGUCGGUCAAUGGCCAGUUGGUGGGGCUCCACUCGCUCUUUCUGCAGGAAAACGGAAAACUUGGGGGCAGGGGUUGUAGGAGGAGCAUGCUAGCAGGAUACUGGGAGCCUGGUAAGGGAAUACAGAGAAAAGGGGACCAACUGUGGGCCAUGGAGCAGGGCCUCCUAGAGCUUCGGGGUGAAGAGCCUUUUAGAUCUAUUCUGACUAAUCGGUAAAGGUUGUUGGGUACCUGUAACAUAUGCUGAAAAAGUUCUCGCCCGUGGCCAUGCCGUUGCACCGACUCGUGGAUGUAAAAGUCCAGAAUGCAAAGGGGUUCUACCUCAUUGUGAGCCUCCCGGUCAUCCUAAGAGGUCAAGAACACAUACUCAUUAGGAGCCAUGCAUCUUCUUCAUUGUCUCCCACCCCGCCCCCAUUUCUUCUCUGACACCAGUGCUUACAAAUGGCUAGUUUGCAGUGACACUCACCAGUACAAAGAGCUUCUUGUAUCCAACUUUGAGGAAACCAAUAAUGGCUCCUUUCCCUGCCCUGUGGGAUGGGGGAAAUAAUGAACCAGGCAGGAGCAACUGUCUGGGAGAGAUUGUAAAAGGGAGGUAAGAAGAGUUUGAUUCACAGGGAAUAAUGACAGUAAGACUCACGGUCGGGCUGAGGUGUCCUUCAGUAUGUAAAUAACGUGCCGGUUGCUUUGCAUCCUCAAAGCGCUGGUGAUGGGUGCAGGGAGGUGCUGCGCCUGCAGAGAUGAAGAUCUACUUUGUUUGGCUCCUUAUCUGCCACCCAUCUCCCUUUCCUCCUCCUAGAGGCGCCCCGUACCUUGGCAGAAGCCUUGCCCAGCUCAUCUACAAUAGUCAUGAUUUGCUGCUGCAGAUCCACACUACAGAGAGAGGGGCCCGGUCAGACACUCGCUAGGUUACAGCAUCGUGUAAGUCAUUCCUGGCAGCCUGCUUGGCUCCCACCCAGGCUCCUCCACAGGGUCUCUGACUUUGCUUGGAACUCUUCCUCACCUCCCACCUCACCUCACCCCUCCAGAUCCCAAGCUUUGGUUUCACAGCUCCCGUGUUAAGGUUACUGUGACGCGGUAGGAAGGGCGGGUCAACUAUAGCCUCUUGUUGAGGCCACAUUAGGCCAGAUGGUGAAAGGUUACAGAUGUAGGUCUAUUAACCCGGCUAGAUCCAGGGUCAAAGGUCACCAAAACACAAGUAAGACCGCAGGAGAAAUGGCCAGUAGUCAGUGAGAAGGGGGCGUGGUUCCUGGAUCAGGUUUGGAGAGGAACCGGGACAGAAGGGCCAUGGGUCGGGUUUGAAAUGUCACCGGGCCGGCGUUGUGGUUCCGGGUCGGCGGGCCGGAGGCCGCAGGUGCUGGUCCAGCACGGUGAUCCGCUCCGGGAACAGCGCAUCCACAUCGAACGGGAACUCCAUGGCCCAUUGUGCGGGACCAGACACGCCCCACACAACGUCACUUCCGCUAAGAGGGCCGGUCUGUGCCCCUGAGAUGCCAGGGCAACCAAGUAUCCUGCCCUCCCAGUGAACAGCUGAGGGAACCUUCAGAAGAACCAGUCUCACACCCCUUGGAGUUGCGGGUAGACCACACUCCCACCCCACCUCAUAGACUUCACACCCACGUUUUGAACAGACAGCCCAAAGGGAGUCAAGAACGGGUGAAGAGACACAGCUUUAUUGUAUAAAAGCUGAGCCAGGAGGUUUAAAUCAGGGACACACCAUCAAGGGCAUACACAAGAGUCUCCAGUUUAUAUGUAAGUCCUCACCAGUUACCCAUAAACAUCUAGUCCCCCUCAACGUCAAAUGUGCUUUGUUCUCUUCAUGCCAGCCAGUUCCCUAUAGGGUCUGCCACUGUCACAAAACAGAACCCUUUGCAGGACACAGGAUACCACGUAGCCCUAGACAGUACUCCCUUGGUCUGACUUCCCCAGGUCACAAGUUCUAAGCACUCUGGGAGCCUGGCUGCUCAAUGGAGGAUUCUGCUGGUGGUGUAGUGGGCAUCUCUGGCAUCGACUCAGGUGGCGGGCCACUUUCUUCUAGGAGAUUUCCUUGAUAGAGUCGGCGAAGGCGAGACAGCUCUCUCUCUGGUGGCUGUUGCCAGCUGUACCAUGGGUACCAAGGUUCACCUGACAACAGUGUGGGGGCUGGUGGAGUCACACUGACAGCUCCAUGCACAGUACCAAAGUCAGCAUCCCGGGGCUCAACCUGGGGGACGUAGUAACUGAGAAGACCUACGGGGUUAAAGGAAAUAAUGGUGGAUGAGGAAGGGCAGGUCAGACUCAAGACAAGAAAAAGGCACUACAAGUCGAGGGACCAGUCAUAACCACCAAGCACAUUCCAGCAGCGCAUACACAGCACACCCUGCCAAGGAGACAGAGAACAGGCAGGGCACUGCAUGGGCUCUCCCUCCUCACUCAUCCGUGCAAAGGUGCUGUAUAAGCCAGGUCAGAACCAAGAAACACAAGACUGUCAAGAUUCAGGAGACAGAGUAGUCUGAAGAAGGAAUGUUCCUUCCUUGUGUUUCCUGAAAGAUCAUCUCAAUAUGUACUCUUAGUAGCCUGGAACCUACAGCUGUUACUUCCGAGUCCAGCAACUCACCCAACGUGGAAAAACUAGGAGUCUGCUGAGUACUUUCUCAUAGACAUGGGAGCACGUAAGCACCUCAGAAACCCUUGCCCCUUGCUCUCAC